rnacentral:rRNA from 1 species
UGGGGAAUUUUGGACAAUGGGCGAAAGCCUGAUCCAGCAAUGCCGCGUGUGUGAAGAAGGCCUUCGGGUUGUAAAGCACUUUUGUCCGGAAAGAAAUCCUCUGGGUUAAUACCUCGGGGGGAUGACGGUACCGGAAGAAUAAGCACCGGCUAACUACGUGCCAGCAGCCGCGGUAAUACGUAGGGUGCAAGCGUUAAUCGGAAUUACUGGGCGUAAAGCGUGCGCAGGCGGUUUUGUAAGACGGAUGUGAAAUCCCCGGGCUUAACCUGGGAACUGCAUUCGUGACUGCAAGGCUAGAGUAUGGCAGAGGGGGGUAGAAUUCCACGUGUAGCAGUGAAAUGCGUAGAGAUGUGGAGGAAUACCGAUGGCGAAGGCAGCCCCCUGGGCCAAAUACUGACGCUCAUGCACGAAAGCGUGGGGAGCAAAACAGGAUUCAGAUACCCUGGUAGUCCACGCCCUAAACGAUGUCAACUAGUUGUUGGGGAUUCAUUUCCUUAGUAACGUAGCUAACGCGUGAAGUUGACCGCCUGGGGAGUACGGUCGCAAGAUUAAAACUUAAAUGAAUUGACGGGGUCAUAGCUGUUUCCU